rnacentral:lncRNA from 13 species
AUGUUCACACUGGAAACUUGGCCUGUCCUUGAAUGUGCUGCCCUCCUUUAUUUGUCCCAUCAGCAUCCACAAAGAAGCCACACGUGCACACAGCCUCACGUGCAAAUAGCAUCCACACAUGCGCACAACCUCACAUGCACACAGCGAUAUAUGCACACAGCCACACACGCGCACAGCCACACAUGUGCACAGCCACACAUGCACAUAGCUUCCACACCUCCACACACCCAUCCAUGCACACAGCAUACAUACAUCCACAUCCACACAGCAUCCACACCUCCACAGUAUCCACACAUCCACACACCCAUCCAUGUUCAGUGUACACACAUCCACAUCCACACAGCAUCCACACCUCCACAGCAUCCACACAUCCACACACCCAUCCAUGCGCACAGUGUACACACAUCCACAUCCACACAGCAUCCACACCUCCACACAACAUCCACACCUCCACACAACAUCCACACCUCCACACAACAUCCACACCUCCACACACCCAUCCAUGCACACAGCGUACACACAUCCACAUCCACACAGCAUCCAUACCUCCACAGUAUCCACACAUCCACACACCCAUUCAUGUGCAGUGUACACACAUCCACAUCCACACAGCAUCCACACCUCCACACGGUAUCCACACCUCCUCAACCAUCCAUGUGCACAGUGUACACACAUCCACAUCCACACAGCAUCCACACCUCCACACAACAUCCACACCUCCACACCCAUCGAUGUGCACAGCGUACAUACAUCCACAUCCACAGCAUCCACACCUCCACACAACAUCCACACCUCCAGACCCAUCCAUGCACACAGCGUACACACAUCCACAUCCACAGCAUCCACACCUCCACACAACAUCCACACCUCCACACCCAUCCAUGCGUAGUGUACACACAUCCACACAGCAUCCACACCUCCACACAUUCACACCUCCACACCCAUCCAUGUGCAGUGUACACACAUCCACAUCCACACAACAUCCACACCUCCACACCCAUCCAUGCGUAG